AACGAACGCUGGCGGCAUGCCUAACACAUGCAAGUCGAACGAGACCUUCGGGUCUAGUGGCGCACGGGUUCGUCACGCGUGGGAACCUUCCCUUAGGUUCGGCAUAACUCCCCGACAGGGGUGCUAAUACCGGAUAAUGUCUUCGGCCCAAAGAUUUAUCGCCCUUGGAUGGUCCCGCGUUGGAUUAGCUAGUUGUUAGGGUAAAAGCCUACCAAGGCGACGAUCCAUAGCUUGUCUGAGAGGAUGAUCAGCCACACUGGGAGUGAGACACGGCCCAGACUCCUACGGGAGGGAGCAGUGGGGAAUAUUGGACAAUGGGCGAAAGCCUGAACCAGCAAUGCAGCGUGAGUGAUGAAGGCCUUAGGGUUGUAAAGCUCUUUUAACCGGGAUGAUAAUGACAGUACCGGGAGAAUAAGCUCCGGCUAACUCCGUG
rnacentral:rRNA from 1 species